UGUCCUGAAAGUAUUAAUUAAUAAUGAAAGGGCUUUCUAAAUAUCACUUAGUGGUAUCAAUUGUAUUGAAUUGUCAAGACCUGACUACAAAGAGGUUUUGUGGUAGUUCUGUCCAAGCUUGGAACGUUGAUCCUCUUAGUUCGUCCUACUUUGACACUAUUGCCUUCCUCACAUAAAAUGCUGCACAUGGUCAAAGCAGUGAAUCUCCUUUGAGGAAAAAAGUAACUGCUCACAACAAAGGGAUUGAUAAGUGUCUGUUUCGAUGAUAAAAAGGAAUUAUUGAGUCAUGCUUCAAGUUAUGUAUCAAAUACAAUUCAGGAUGAGUCUGACCACUAUCGAUCUUCUGACUGGGCUCGAGUAUUUGAGGCUGCAACCCAGAGAAGAACAGAAGUUCUUAUGCCUGAAAAUCUUGAAAACAUGUGGACAAUUGGAAGAAACUACAAAAAGAAACUCUAGAAGAAUACUGCCAGAGGACCUCAGGUUGCACAAGAAAAAAUUCCAGAAAGCAAUACCAUGCUUAGAAAGGAUUUAGUGAUAGAAGUACCAAUGCAAAAGCCUGAAACUUCAAGAAGAAUGGAAGAUAAAGCACUUAUUCAGUUACCACCAAAGCCUCAACCAGAUACGGGGUUUACUGAUCUGCAUCUUAAUAAGCAAGUUUAUUCCAAGAGGGUCUAUUGCUGAUGAACUUGAGCAUGCUACUUCUGUUUUUCCUUGUGAAAAUAGAAAUCAGCUUAAAAGGUCAAAUAACACUUCUGAUUUGAAAGUUCAAUUGAACAUGGAAGACAUGUUUGCUACCAGAGGUGAAACUCCUAUCAUUUCAGAAUUUUAUAAUCCAAAUAUUAGCAGGCACAAUAUAUAUAAUGUCAAGAGUGCCUCAGAUAUGUUGGUCCCCAGUGAGGGACUGCAUGAUCCGAAGCUAAGGUGC
rnacentral:lncRNA from 1 species